rnacentral:lncRNA from 1 species
AUGAUUUUUUUAGGCUUCUUGGUGAUUUUGACGUCAGUCCAAGCUGUGUCUGUGCCUACCUUCUCCCCCGUGUAUGAGCUGAAGGUGGGGUACGGAGACAAUGUCACCCUCCCCUGUAACUUUUCCUCCUACCUGGGCCAGGAGGAUGAGGGGGAGGUCCGCUGGGAGGCCAUGGGGCAGGAGGUGGCCUCUAUGGAGGUUGGGAACAUCCUUGGUGAGGCCAGAUGGGACGACGGCGCCAAGGGGUUGGAGGUCAAAACGACACUGGGGUUCUCUUCCCGGGUGGAAUUCCCCCCAGCAGAGAGGAUGAGAGAUGGAGACUUCUCUAUGACCAUCCAGGAGACAGUGCUGAGCGAUGAGGAAAUGUACGAGUGUAUCUGGCUGGGCCGCAAGACCAUCUCUACAGUCUGGCUCAAGGUUCAGGAGCCCGACCCUCCACGCUCUAUCACGCUGUUCAAGGGAAGCCCGGUCACUCUGCCCUGCUACGGUGUCAUCCCCAAGACCCAGCCCACCAGCCAGAUCUACGUCCAAUGGCUGAAGGACGAUGUGGAGAUCAUGACCCUUAACCCUGGCCCAGACGACAAGGGACCUAAGGAAGAAGACCUCCGUCUCUCUCUCCCACCCAACAACCUGCUGGAGAACGGUGACCUGUCCUUGUAUAUCUACAAGACGGAGCUCAAAGACCAGGGAGUCUAUCGCUGCUUCUACAAGUCCAGGGGCUUCGAGGACCCUAAGAGUGGGAUACCAGAGGGUGUCUCUCUCACCAUCCUAGAUCCAUACACUGACCUAUAUAACUUAACAGGAACAGAGAAUGUCACCAGUAGCUCAGACUUUAGUGGGACUAGUGGUGACAGUGAGAACCCAAUAACAUUCUUCACUUUGGUGACCCAAGAUAAGGAGGAUAUGCAAGUGACAUCAUCUGAGCCAAUACUAGUGCAGACAGAGAUGACACCAUCAUCACCUGACACAACCUUUGGUGAGUGUUAUGUUCUAAAUGUUUUGGAAGUACUGUAGAUGAAUGUUGGAAGGCGGAGUCAAUGUUGAAUACUGUGCCCCCCUAUUCUCCCUCUUCCCUCCUCUUCCCUCCUCUUCCUCUUCCCUCCUCCUUGCCCAGAGGAUCCAGAAGACGUGUUGGCAGUGUGGGCAAAGACCCUUCCGCUGGUGCGUAUCGGGAUAAUCACCGUGGUUCUGCUGGUUACAGCUCUGAUCUUCUUCCCUCUGCUGGUUCUCAACAAGAUCCCAUCCUAGACCCACAUUAGGGUAGAGAGGGUAGACCCAAGGGUUAGGGCAAAGUCAUUCAAUUAUGGCUCUGGAGGGCUGAAAAACAUUUUCAUUCUCUUUUAAUCAGACUGAUUCAGAUUUGGGUCUAUCGGGUGACUCUUGGCCAAUCAAUUACAUCCAUUGAUAAUUCACUCAGGGCUAGUAACUUUUUAAAGUGUAUACAGUGCAUUUGUAAAGUAUUCAGACCUUUGUUUUUUCCACAUUUUGUUACGUUACAGGCUUAUUCUAAAAUAUAUUACAUUAUUUUUUGUCUCAUCAAUCUACACACAAUACCCCAUUAUGACAAAUUGAAAACAGGUUUUGAGACAUUUUUGCAAAUGUUUAAAAAAACAUAGCUUAUUUACAUAAGUAUUCAGACCCUUUGGGAUGAGACUCGAAAUUGAGCUCAGGUGCAUCCUGUUUCAAUUGAUCAUCCUUAAGAUGUUUCUACAACUUGUUUGGAGUCCAUCUAUGCUAAAUUAAAAUUAAUUGGACGUGAUUUGGAAAGGCAUACACCUGUCUGUAAAGUCCCACAGUUGACAGUGCAUGUCAGAGCAAAAACCAAGCCAUGAGGUCGAAGGAAUUGUCCGUAGAGCUCUGAAACCGGAUUGUGUCGAGGCACAUUUCUGGGGAAGGGCACCAACAAAUGUCUGCAGCAUUGAAGGUCCCCAAGAACACAGUGGCCUCCAUCAUUCUUAAACGGAAGAAGUUUGGAACCACCAAGACUCUUCCUAGAGCUGACCUCCCGGCCAAACUGAGCAAUCGGGGGAGAAGAGCCUUAGUCAGGGAGGUGACCAAGAACCCAAUGGUCACUCUGACAGAGCUCCAGAAUUCCUCUGUGGAGAUGGGAGAACCAUCAGGAGGUACAACCAUCUCUGCAGCAUUCCACCAAUCAGGCCUUUAUGGUAGAGUGGCCAGACCGAAGCCACUCCUCAGUAAAAGUCAAGACACAAAAGACACCUAAAGGACUCUCAGACCAUGAGAUACAAGAUUAUCUGGUCUGAUGAAACCAAGAUUGAACUAUUUGGCCUGAAUGCCAAGUGUCACGUCCGGAGGAAACCUGGAACCAUCCGUACGGUGAAGCAUGGUGGUGGCAGCAUCAUGCUGUGGGGAUGUUUUUCAGCGGCCGGGACUGGGAGACUAGUCAGGAUCGAGGGAAAGAUGAACGGUGCAAAGUACAGACAGAUCUUUGAUGAAAACCUGCUCCAGAGCGCUCAGGACCUCAAACUAGGGCGAAGAUUCACCUUCCAACGGGACGACGACCCUAAGCACACAGCCAAGACAGCACAGGCGUGGCUUCGGGACAAGUCUGUGAAUGUCCUUCAGUGGCCCAGCCAGAGCCCGGACUUGAACCCACUCUAACAUCUCUGCUGAGGCCUGAAAAUAGCUGUGCAGCGACGCUCCCCACCCAACCUGACAGAGCUUGAGAGGAUCUCCAGAGAAGUAUGGGAGAAACUCCCCAACUACAUUUAUGCCAAGCUUUUUGCUUUGUCACUAUGGGGUAUUGUGUGUAGAUUGAUAAGGGGAAGAAAAACUAAUUAAUCCAUUUUAGUUUAAGGCUGCAACGUAACAAAAUACAAAUGCACUGUAUAUGUGAAUAGUCUGAAAAUGCUACAUUAUCUUAGCCACAUUAAAGCUACAGCCUCUAUGCAUUUGUCCUCUGCGAUGCUGGAUCAACCCCUCAUCUGAGCUGCCAGUGAGAAGUCUGAGAUCGUUUGAUGAUGUCUGCCCUGCUACGUCCGCUGAAUGCUUUGGAGGUUGUGUAUUGGAAUGUGGGAUUGGACUCAAGGGCUCAGAUGAACCCUGCUAUGCUCUGUCCUUAUAUAGUAUUCCUAUUAAUAUCUCUGCCUUGGAAUGAUGACAAGGGCGGGGAGACAGUCUUCAAAUACUGAACUGCACCAUUUGAAAACACAGUAUUGGAUGUACAAUAAACGUGUGUUGCGAGCGCAUUGCAAAUAAACAUUAAAUACAUG